AUUGAACGCUGGCGGCAGGCCUAACACAUGCAAGUCGAGCGGAUGAAGGGAGCUUGCUCCUGGAUUCAGCGGCGGACGGGUGAGUAAUGCCUAGGAAUCUGCCUGGUAGUGGGGGAUAACGUCCGGAAACGGGCGCUAAUACCGCAUACGUCCUGAGGGAGAAAGUGGGGGAUCUUCGGACCUCACGCUAUCAGAUGAGCCUAGGUCGGUUUAGCUAGUUGGUGGGGUAAAGGCCUACCAAGGCGACGAUCCGUAACUGGUCUGAGAGGAUGAUCAGUCACACUGGAACUGAGACACGGUCCAGACUCCUACGGGAGGCAGCAGUGGGGAAUAUUGGACAAUGGGCGAAAGCCUGAUCCAGCCAUGCCGCGUGUGUGAAGAAGGUCUUCGGAUUGUAAAGCACUUUAAGUUGGGAGGAAGGGCAGUAAGUUAAUACCUUGCUGUUUUGACGUUACCAACAGAAUAAGCACCGGCUAACUUCGUG
rnacentral:rRNA from 1 species